rnacentral:rRNA from 1 species
UAGGGAAUCUUCGGCAAUGGGGGGAACCCUGACCGAGCAACGCCGCGUGAGUGAAGAAGGUUUUCGGAUCGUAAAGCUCUGUUGUUAAGGAAGAACGAGUGUGAGAAUGGAAAGUUCAUGCUGUGACGGUACUUAACCAGAAAGGGACGGCUAACUACGUGCCAGCAGCCGCGGUAAUACGUAGGUCCCGAGCGUUGUCCGGAUUUAUUGGGCGUAAAGCGAGCGCAGGCGGUUAGAAAAGUCUGAAGUGAAAGGCAGUGGCUCAACCAUUGUAGGCUUUGGAAACUGUUUAACUUGAGUGCAGAAGGGGAGAGUGGAAUUCCAUGUGUAGCGGUGAAAUGCGUAGAUAUAUGGAGGAACACCGGUGGCGAAAGCGGCUCUCGGGUCUGUAACUGACGCUGAGGCUCGAAAGCGUGGGGAGCGAACAGG